GACGUGUACUGGUCGAACAGCAGCUGGUCGGACCUCGGGAUGACCAGGCGCAGCAUGGGCAGCAGCUGCCGUUUGCCGGGCGAGUUGAGAAUCACUUUGAGGGUUUGGACCAGGUCGAAGACGUUGCGCUUGGCGUGAACAAACUCCAGAGUCUUCUCCAGGUUUCUACGGCGGAGCCUUCUCUGUGCACAACUGCCAGGCAGCGCUGAAUUGGAUGCUCUCAGACCCUCUGUGUAUAGGAAAUGACGCAGGGACAACUGAGGAAACCUGGGCCCUUAUCAACUGGCGGGCGGCCAACAAGCAAACGAAAUUCGGCCAAUUCUGGAUGGGCGUUCGCUUGUGUCACCUGCCUCCUAGUUGCCCAACGGCUUUCCAGGAGGACCUCACCACAGCUCUCAUCUGUUUUCCCUCAGACCGCUGUUCCUGCCUCAGCCUGCCUGCUCUCCCCAGCCUCGUGUCGGUCCGCCGUCUGCCUCCAGUCUACCGACUUCCAAAAUUACCUCCACACUCCUGGUUCCUUGUUGUGUUUCCUAUAAAUAAACGGAACCUACUACUUCA